GACGAACGCUGGCGGCGUGCCUAAUACAUGCAAGUCGAACGCAGUGGGGCCGGGUGAGUAACACGUGGGUAACCUCCCAUCAGAGGGGAUAACACUUGGAAACAGGUGCUAAACCGAUACUGAUGGAUGGACCCGCGGUUCAUUAGCUAGUUGGUGAGGUAACGGCUCACCAAGGCCACGAUGCAUAGCAGACCGGAGAGGUGGAUGGGCCACACUGGGACUGAGACACGGCCCAGACGCCUACGGGAGGCAGCAGUAGGUAAUCUGCGGCAAUGGACGAAAGUCGGACCGAGAAAGGCCGCGUGAGUGAAGAAGGUGUUCGGAUCGUAAAACUCUGUUGUUAGAGAAGCGGUAUCUAACCAGAAAGCCACGGCUAACUACGUGCCAGCAGCCGCGGUAAUUC
rnacentral:rRNA from 1 species